UGUUCAGCGGGUCUUCUCCUUUCUUUCUACAGUUCAAUCCAAUCAUCCAGUUGGUUUAUAUAUAUCAUUCUUUAAGCUAUGGCUUCCGACAACUUAUCUGCUCCAGUGCUCUUUCUGCUCUGUUGUAUAGUUUCAUUUCCUCCUAAUCCUUCACGGAGGUGCUGUGUUACUAUUGAUCAAGUUUUAUUUUGGAAAGCUAGGGUUCUGAGAAAUUCUUCCUCAGAUGCUUCCUUUUCUAAUGAGGCCAUUACCGAAUCCUUUACUGAUUCCUGUAGUUCUUCCUUUGUUGGAGCCCUAGCUAAAGCUUACUGUUAACAGGGCUGAAGCGAAGCCCUCUUUUGUGACUUUAGUUAAGGUGGCUGCUAUCAAGAUGGCGAUUUUAGGGUUUACAGUCAUGCUAACGCAGAAGCAUCUGAAUCAUUAGCCAGCGAUGUAGUGAAGAAAUUUAAUCCAAUUUCUUGGACAAGUAUAUCAUAUCAUUCAUUAAGCUAUGGCUUCGAACGACUCCUUUGCUCCAGUGCUCUUUCUGCUCUGUUGUAUUGUUUCAUUUCCUCCAAAUCCUUCACGGAUGCUCCGUGUUACUAUUGAUCAAGUUUUAUUUUUGGAGAGCUAGGGUUCUGAGAAAUUUUUCCUCAGAUGCUUCCUUUGUAAGAGUGAAAUUACUUAAUCCACUCCUGAUUCCUGUAGUUCUUCCUUCGUUACAGCCCUAGCUAAAGCUCUGUGUUAACGGGGCUGAAGCGAACCCCUCUUCUGUGAUUUUAGGCAAGGUGGCAGCUCUAAAGACGGUGAUUUUAGGGUUUACAGUCGUGCUAACGCAGAAGCAUCUGAAUCAUUAGCCAGCGAUGUAGUGAAGAAAGUUGAUCCAAUUUCUUGCACAAGGGUUUGACCUAAUUCUGGUAAGAUUGUGGAGUUUGGAGAGGAAGUUUCAGAGUCACAUGGAGAGUAUUUUCGUCUGCAAGUUACAGAAUUUUUUGCCCUGGCUUAAUUGAUCUGUAUAUUUGGUCUUUGUGGAAAAAGGUUAUUAUCCUGGGAAAGGUUUUGUUUUUAAGUGAUACUCACAUAUCCCAAGGACAUGCAAACACUACAAGGGGCCCCUCGGUUGGCGACAAAGUCUUCAUGGAGCUUAAACCCUGGUUUCAGAAUGUGGUACUUUGCUUUUCCUUCACUUGAGGAAUUCAUGGAAAAUGCAUGUGAAAGAAAAUAACAUGGAAGGUAAAUCUUUAUCCUUUAUGGAUUGCAAGUAUAUUUGUCCACAAGAUAUAACUUAUGUAUUCUUGAGAGCGAGCGUACUUAGAGAUGCUUGAUUCAUAGUUAGAGAUUCACUUGCACCUCAAAGUGGGGGCAAAAUAUAAUGGUGAAAAUCGUAUUCUCAAUGUAUUCUUGGUUUUUUUUUUUUUCCUAACUUUGGGUUAAUGUGGUCAUAUAGCUACAAAUGACACAUUGUUUAUGGAUAAUUGGGCUUGCAAACCUAGCCUUGCUUGCAUGUAGCCCUAUGCGUAUUGCUUAUCCUUAUGAUUAUAUGCAUGCAAUCCCAAUCCAAUUGGAUUAUAUGUCAAAGUUUCAAUCAUAAUCCAACUUUGUUGGAUAUUGAUCCAACUUGGCUAUAUGACCCAUGUUUGCAAUAUUGAUCAUUUUAAAUGUAAAAUUUGAAGUAGAACAUUUAGUAGACGGCCCCCCCAUUACACUUUGGCCCCAAGUUAACUUUGCACGAA